GUGAAUCAUCGAAUUUUUGAACGCACAUUGCACUCUCUGGUAUUCCGGAGAGUAUGCCUGUUUGAGGGUCAGUUUAAAUAAAAAUCUGUGUGGUUGCUGCCUUUUGUGGUGACGCAUCGGAGUUGGGUCGCCUUACCUUCGGUUAAGUGCGCUAAAAUUGUGUAUGGUUUUUUUGGAACU
rnacentral:misc_RNA from 1 species